UUUAUGGAGAGUUUGAUCCUGGCUCAGGAUGAACGCUGGCGGCGUGCCUAAUACAUGCAAGUCGAGCGAACAGACGAGGAGCUUGCUCCUUUGACGUUAGCGGCGGACGGGUGAGUAACACGUAGGUAACCUACCUAUAAGACUGGGAUAACUUCGGGAAACCGGAGCUAAUACCGGAUAAUAUUUCGAACCGCAUGGUUCGAUAGUGAAAGAUGGCUUUGCUAUCACUUAUAGAUGGACCUGCGCCGUAUUAGCUAGUUGGUAAGGUAACGGCUUACCAAGGCAACGAUACGUAGCCGACCUGAGAGGGUGAUC
rnacentral:rRNA from 1 species